GUUGAUAUUCCUGUACCACCUCUUUAUCGUUUGAGCAAUGGAGGGACGCAGAAGGAUAGAAGAAGCGUGCGAUUGGUUGUGCACGUCCAAGCAGUUAGGCUGAUAAGUAGGCAAAUCCGCUUAUCGUGAAGGCUGAGCUGUGAUGGGGAAGCUCCUUAUGGAGCGAAGUCUUUGAUUCCCCGCUGCCAAGAAAAGCUUCUAGCGAGAUAAAAGGUGCCUGUACCGCAAACCGACACAGGUAGGCGAGGAGAGAAU
rnacentral:rRNA from 4 species